UACGUAGGGUGCAAGCGUUAUCCGGAAUUAUUGGGCGUAAAGAGCUCGUAGGUGGUUUGUCGCGUUGUCCGUGAAAACUCACAACUCAAUUGUGGGCGUGCGGGCGAUACGGGCAGACUGGAGUACUGCAGGGGAGACUGGAAUUCCUGGUGUAGCGGUGGAAUGCGCAGAUAUCAGGAGGAACACCGGUGGCGAAGGCGGGUCUCUGGGCCGAUACUGACGCUGAGGAGCGAAAGCAUGGGUAGCGAACAGG
rnacentral:rRNA from 1 species